CAGUAGCCACGGGAACACAGAGGGUGCGAGCGUUAAUCGGAUUUACUGGGCGUAAAGCGUGCGUAGGCGGCUUCUUAAGUCGGAUGUGAAAUCCCUGAGCUUAACUUAGGAAUUGCAUUCGAUACUGGGAAGCUAGAGUAUGGGAGAGGAUGGUAGAAUUCCAGGUGUAGCGGUGAAAUGCGUAGAGAUCUGGAGGAAUACCGAUGGCGAAGGCAGCCAUCUUGCCUAAUACUGACGCUGAGGUACGAAAGCAUGGGGAGCAAACAGGAUUAGAUACCCGGGUAGUCCCUGUCUCUUAUAC
rnacentral:rRNA from 1 species